UUGGCUGCUGUGAGGACAAGGACGAGUCAGGGCCUAGAGGAGAUGCCUAGAAGAAACAUCAAGGAGGUUUUCAAAGAAACUGGGGUCCAUUUAUUGUAGAACAUAAAGGUCUCUCCAUGUUACUGCAUAUGCCUAAGCCUGCAGCACCAAAAAUACCACUUUAUCCAGUGUCCAUGGCUCAAAUGUCAACCUCUUGCCUGCAAAACUGCCUGGUCUGGUUCCUCCCAAAACCCAAGUCUCUCAGAAUCCCAGCAUCCCUUUUCCUGGUCACCCCAACAAUACCCAUCCUACACACCUUGAGAGUUUGCUCCUUGAACAACUGACACUAAGUUCAGCCAAAAGUAUAGAAGAGCUGAAUCUGGGGAUCUGCACUGCCUGAACAGUGGCACAGGACUAAAAAAUUUGCAGUGUAAUACUGCAGAAUGUUUUACUGUUUCAUUCCCUGAUUGCACAAUUCUGUUUUCAAAAGUACCAAGAAUUUGAUGGGAAUUCCAGUUAUAUUUCUGAGGAAUAAUGAGGAAGAUCUUUCCUUUCUGAGUAGUUAAAAUGAUCAUGGAUGAUACCUUGGGAGCUGGAAAAUUCAUGGUAUGCAGUGGUUUAGUCCAAAAUGGCAAAACAUGGAGACGCACCACACAGGAAGGCAGCUUAUAGGAAACAUAGUACAAUAACAACCCUGACCUCCUGACCUCUAGAAAUUAGGAAGUGCAAUUCUUAAAUCAAAACCAGCACCAGAAGUUCUGGGAAUG